UGUUGGGCAAUUAAUUAACUGAACUGCAUUUGUGGUCAUUGUUUCAGUUCAUCUUGCAGUCGAUAGUUCUAUUUGUACAUGGUAUGUACAGGCUGCACUCUUCCUAGCAUUCCACAGGCCUUGGUGUAUGCAUUAUGAAUUAAGGAAAAUAUACUGACAUAAGUCUCCUUAAGAAGACCUGGAUUAAUUCUAGCUACACUUUGAGUGACUGAGGAUAACAAACCAGCCCUUUUAGGUCUCAGUUUGUAGAAUUAUAGGUUGGAGUAUGUGUUUUCUAAGAACCUUUAUGUACCCAACGGUCUAGUAGAUUUAUGAAUUAUGGUGGUUCAUUAAGUCUUUGAUAUGUAAUUGGAAUGGAGCCAUCAGCUACAUAUAAUUGACAAUCACCUAUUGAAAAGAGAUCAAUAAGUGGUCGGCUGUGUUGAAGACGUAUGCUUUAGCCAGGCGGUGUGUCUGUAGAUGCCUGCAUUUCGUGGCCUAAAUACUAUUAUCAAUUUCUGCUCAACUCUAUUACGCAUCUGGUUCCAAGGUGACUCAGUGGCAAUGGCCAGCUCAGCUCUAUAAAUAUGUGAGGACAUUACUUAAGCUUUUGAUUAGUGAGUGGGCUUAAGUGACCCAAAGGAGGCUGGCAUUUAUUUAUAGCCUUUGUGUUCUGUUUUGUUUGAUAGGAUGAUGGGGCUACAGUUAUGGUGGCUAGCGUUUAUUUAUUUACUUAGGUGGUUGUGUUUUGAAGAGCCAGGAUUCAGAGGAAAUAAAUAAAGCUUCACUAGCGUAAAGAUACUGUUUAGAGGGUUCUCAGAUCACCGUGAUAAUUAUGGGGUAGCCUGCACUGCCUUGGUAGUGCUGAGCUAGACAGUGCCCCCAUGUGUCCUUGAACAUGUGGAUGUGGUGCUCACUCUGCCCCAUCUGGGCCGGAUAUUCUCCUCUCCCCUACAGUCUCCCCACCCCAUUCUCCAUUGUUCUCAAGGGCUGGCCGCCUCCUCCGUCUUUCAUGGCACAGCACCCUUUGGUGGGGAAAGUGGCCCUGUCAGCAGCCGCAAGACUGUGGUGGGUUUGCCAGGAUGGAGCCAUGGCGACGACCUUCUGAAAGGAAGGAACAAGUACAGUGAAGAUGUAGAACUCAGCUCCUCCUGCACCAUGCCUGCCUGGAUGUCGCAAUGCUGCCACGUUCCCACCUUGAUGAUAAUGGAACCUCUGAACCGCUUUAGGCAGUCCCUUUGAAAGUUUCCUUCAACCACCAAAAGGGGGCUCGACCUGCAAGUUGAGAACCAUUUGAUGUACAUGAAUUUAUAUAAGAAAUCUAGCAUGGCUGUCAUCUGAGAGGCUCUACCAGCAGCUAACUGAGACAGAAGCAGAUACUUAGAGCCAGCCAUUGAACUGAGGUCAAGCACUCCUAUGGAAGAGUGAGGGGAAGAACUGAAGGAGGUAAAGGGGAUGACAACCCCAGAGGAAGAACAUUCCCUGGACCCCUGGGAGCUCACAGAGACUAAGCCACCCACCAACCAAAGCAUACAUGAGCUUCUCCAUCGUCAGUGGCACAUGCGUAGCAGAGGACUAACUUGUCUGGCCUCAGUGGGAGAGGGUGCACCUAUCCUGUAGAGACUUGAUGCUCCAGAGAACAGAGAUGUCUGGAGGAGAAGAUGGGGCGAGGUGGAUGGGUGUGAGUGUGUGGAAGAACAUUCAGACGCAAUGACUAGGGGAGUGUGGAUGGGGUGAAGCAUUCUGGGAAGGGAAACCUGGAGGGGGACAUUUGAAAUAUUAAUUAAUUAAUUAAUUAAUUAAUUAAUUAAUUAAAAAAGAAGUUUCCACUUAGUAA